rnacentral:rRNA from 1 species
CGGACGGGUGAGUAACGCGUGAGAAUCUGCCUCCAGGUCGGGGACAACAGCGGGAAACUGCUGCUAAUCCCGGAUAAGCCCUAGGGUAAAAGAUUUAUUGCCUGGAGAGGAGCUCGCGUCCGAUUAGCUAGAUGGUGAGGUAAGAGCUCACCAUGGCGACGAUCGGUAGCUGUUCUGAGAGGAAGAUCAGCCACACUGGGACUGAGACACGGCCCAGACUCCUACGGGAGGCAGCAGUGGGGAAUUUUCCGCAAUGGGCGAAAGCCUGACGGAGCAAGACCGCGUGCGGGAAGAAGGCCCUUGGGUCGUAAACCGCUUUUCUUAGGGAAGAAGCUCUGACGGUACCUAAGGAAUCAGCCUCGGCUAACUCCGUGCCAGCAGCCGCGGUAAUACGGAGGAGGCAAGCGUUAUCCGGAAUUAUUGGGCGUAAAGCGUCCGCAGGCGGCUUAUCAAGUCUGCUGUCAAAGACUGGGGCUCAACCCUGGGGAGGCAGUGGAAACUGAGAAGCUAGAGUGCAGUAGGGGUAGAGGGAAUUCCCAGUGUAGCAGUGAAAUGCGUAGAGAUUGGGAAGAACACCGGUGGCGAAAGCGCUCUACUGGGCUGCAACUGACGCUGAGGGACGAAAGCUAGGGGAGCGAAAGGGAUUAGAUACCCCUGUAGU